AAUGACAGUGUUCUAACAUUCUCACCCUUUGCAGGACUGUAGAGGAAUGUUUCAACGACUCUAAUAAUUAAAAAAAUGCCUGCUAGUUGUUCAUUGUUCCCACUGGUUCCCGGCAGUUCAUGGAGGAAACGCCGCAGGAGCCAAGGAAGAGACCGGUCGAGUAAAGCAGAAUAAGGGCUCAGUUCCUAAGAGGUGACCUUCCAGGGAUUGUUGCGGCGCCGAGGGGCUCACAGCGGGGCUCGGCCCUCGCCGGCCCGGUUGGGCUCAGUAUUUCGGCGUUUGUGCCGCUGGAGGGCAGCGCUGGCACGGCCGGAGCCGCGGGGCGUGCGGGGCAGAGCGCCCUGCCCGGAACAGCGCACGAAACUCAGCGCCCGAAGCGCGGCGCCCAAAACUCAGCUCCCGAGACACACCGCCAGAAACGCAGCGCCCAAAACGCACCCCACACUGCUCUCAGACCGCCGGCACCGAGAAAGGUGUUCCCAAAUUCACAGGAUUUAACAUAA
rnacentral:lncRNA from 12 species